UACGGAGGGGCUAGCGUUGUUCGGAAUUACUGGGCGUAAAGCGCACGUAGGCGGCUUUGUAAGUUAGAGGUGAAAGCCCGGAGCUCAACUCCGGAAUUGCCUUUAAGACUGCAUCGCUCGAAUCAUGGAGAGGUGAGUGGAAUUCCGAGUGUAGAGGUGAAAUUCGUAGAUAUUCGGAAGAACACCAGUGGCGAAGGCGACUCACUGGACAUGUAUUGACGCUGAGGUGCGAAAGCGUGGGGA
rnacentral:rRNA from 1 species